rnacentral:lncRNA from 1 species
UGACUGUACAACUUAGUGAUGUUUAGUGUAUUCAGGAUUCAGCAACCAUCAUCACAAUCAAGUUUAGAACAUUUUCUUACCCCAAAAAGAAACCCAGCAUCCCUAGUCAUCACCACCUAACUUCUUCAUCCCUAGGUGACCCCUAACGUACACUUCGUAGAUUUGCUUUCUCUGGACAUGUCAUACAAAUGGAAUAAAAAAAUCUUCCUUCCUUCCCCCUCCUCCUCCCUCUCUCCUUUUCUCACUGUUUCCCAGGCCUUGAAUUCCAAGGCUCAGGCAGCCCUUGCUUCAGCCUACAGGGCACCUGAGUUCACAGGCAUGCACCGUGUGCUGGCUUCAUUUCUUUCUUUAAUGUCAUUCCCUUGUUUCUCCUCACAUUCCCUCCCCCUUCCUCAGAGCCCUCAAUCUCCUUUGAGUCUUUGCUAACCAUAAGUGCUGGAAAUUAUGUAACCUGAGUGUGGCAUGUGUUAUUGGCUGGAUGCCAGGUCAUCAAGAGCAUGUAUAAUUAAAGCUGUGCCUAAUUUUUUGCCUAACAAAAACCCUCUCACCCAAAAGCCUCUCCAACAACAGACGCCUUUAAGCUCUGCUUUUCCCACCCUCCUCUAGAUAGAAGGCAGCAGAAGACCUUGGGGGUGGGCAGAAAGCACCAGCCAACGUGACCAAAAUUCAGUGGAUCAUCUACCCAUGACUGGUGUCUAGUGGACACAGUCACGCUUCCAUCAUGUACACUUCUGACUCAUACAGAGAAAUGUUAUGCUUUUUCCUGC